rnacentral:rRNA from 1 species
GACGAACGCUGGCGGCGUGCCUAAUACAUGCAAGUAGAACGCACAGUUUAUACCGUAGCUUGCUACACCAUACACUGUGAGUUGCGAACGGGUGAGUAACGCGUAGGUAACCUGCCUGGUAGCGGGGGAUAACUAUUGUAAACGAUAGCUAAUACCGCAUCAUAUUGAUUAUUGCAUGAUAAUUGAUUGAAAGAUGCUAUUGCAUCACUACCAGAUGGACCUGCGUUGUAUUAGCUAGUAGGUGAGGUAACGGCUCACCUAGGCGACGAUACAUAGCCGACCUGAGAGGGUGGUCGGCCACAAUGGGACUGAGACACGGCCCAGACUCCUACGGGAGGCAGCAGUAGGGAAUCUUCGGAAAUGGACGAAAGGCUGACCGAGCAACGCCGCGGGAGUGAAGAAGGGUUUCGGAUCGUAAAGCUCUGUUGUAAGAGAAGAACGGGUGUGAGAGUGGAAAGUUCACACUGUGACGGUAUCUGAACAGAAAGGGACGGCUAACUACGUG